rnacentral:lncRNA from 1 species
GAAGCCUGAUCCCAGUUCUAGCUCUAGUGGUCUCAUGCACAUUAUCUUAUUUCAGAUGCCCAACACCCAGAUGUGGCAGGUAGGGAAGUUUCAUAAUAACCUCUUAUAACAGAUAGGAAAACCAAGAUGGGAACAUGUGAAAGGAAAUGAGGGAGGUCAGGGAAUGACUGACAACAACCACGUCAGGGAGAAAGCUCUGACUCCUGGGCCUUCUCCUCCCCCUCAGAACAUGAAAAAUGUCACAACUUUCUCCCCCAGAAAUAGAAGUUGUCCCGAACAUUCUCUACAAAUGUUACUUCAGAAGCCAGCAAAUAAAAUGACUUUCAGGAACCAAAGCUUGGCAAAUAGAUGGACGGGAAGAAACAGCGUCAAGUCACUGUUAGCACAAAAUUGCAUCUCUACAUUGGCAUGGAGCUGGUAAUUGACAGACAGUAUAGCGGGAGUUACUCUUCAGCUCUGUCAUCUGCAAAAUGGGAAUGGUAGUACUUACCCCGCUCGCCUCACCAGGCUGCUGUGACAACUGACUGUGAUAACAAGAAAAAACCUCCAUCUUCAUCCCCAGAGCUUGAUAUCAAAACAACUAAGCCAGAAAGAAGACCUUUGGUCCUUACCUGAUGGGACACUCAUUAUAACAGGAGAAAUAAUAAUGUCUUUUACAAACCUACAGACACAGCUUAUUUGUGAUAAGAAAACAGUUUUGUUUUUUAGUUUUUUUAUUGGCAUUAAUUUACUCAGAAUAUCUACUAAGUGCACU